AGCGCAGGCGGUGCGGCGAGUCUGAUGUGAAAGCCCGGGGCUCAACCCCGGUACUGCAUUGGAAACUGUCGUACUAGAGUGUCGGAGGGGUAAGCGGAAUUCCUAGUGUAGCGGUGAAAUGCGUAGAUAUUAGGAGGAACACCAGUGGCGAAGGCGGCUUACUGGACGAUAACUGACGCUGAGGCUCGAAAGCGUGGGGAGCAAACA
rnacentral:rRNA from 1 species